CUCAGGACCACACUAGCAAACACUGCUGAGAUGAAUUGGCUCAAAGCUGGUUGUCUGAUUUGAAGGCUGGAGCUGCAACUGGAGUGCCCAUGUAGAGCCUUACCAUAGCGUGGCCCCCAAGGAAGUCAGCUGUUUUACAUGGAAGCCAGAGUAACACACAAGACGCACUGCAUACCAUAGAAGACUAUCAAGCCCAGCCUCAGACGUCCCACUGUCUCGUCCAUCAUGCUGUGUUGGUUGAAGUAGUAGUUACAGGCUCAUCUUGUUCAAGUAGAAAGAGAUUAAACAUCACUUCCUGGGACAGUAGCCAAGUCACAUAAAAGAAGAGCCCAUGGUGUGAGGUGUAUGACUGCUCUUUCUUUGAAACAUAAAACUUAUUGUCGAGAUUAUGGAAAUAACCCAGGGAUUUGGGUAACUAGAAAAGAAGUAAGAAUAAAAUCAAUAAAUUAGCCAUGGUAAGUUUAUUCAACACAAGAACAUACACCAACGAAAGUAGAUGAACAUCACUGUAACAUUAACGCAGAUGAAGCUUAGAAAUACUGUGUGUCAUUGAAAGUACAAGUUGCUAAAUCCUCACCAUCUAUACACUUCCACUUUUAUAAACUUUGGAAUAGUUAAAACUAAGUACCAUAUAUGUGAAGAAAGAGAAUGCACUUUGGGAUAGUGGUGUUCUCUGGGGAUAAUGGAUGAGAAGAUGAAGGAGCAGAGCUGGACCUAGCCAAUUGGGCACAUGAGGGGUCACCUCACUCCACUCACUUGGUGGUGUUUUAUCAGUGUUGACCGAGUGAUCUUAUUCUUCAGCAAGUAGAGAAGGAGAACCAACAUUAAACAUUGAAGCAUCAAGUGAAUGAAGAAUACAGAUGUGGUUCCUCCAGGGACAUAAGUGCUCUAAGAGAGGACAUUGAUUGUAAGAGCACAUGACCCAGAAGUGGAAGGCAGAUAUCUGCAAGGAAGCACACCUUAGUAGGGAGCUAAGUACGAGCCGAGAGCUGUGUGCCAAAGAAAUAGAUCUGCUUUUCUCUCACUCAGUUUCUAUCUACCAGGAAAGAUUUUUCUUCAGAACAGCCCAUAAAAUUAUGUAUUUGCAGUUCAAAAAUACUAGAGUGUGUUACAUUCAGGUUACUGUAGCAAAAUGUUGGAAUCAGAUA
rnacentral:lncRNA from 1 species